CCUCGCUAGAUGGAGCACUGCUUCGGGUUCUCACACGAGUUAAAAAAAAGAUUGAGAAGAAAAGAAGUUGGAGAACCAUCCAGAAAUCUCUUUUAUUUGUCCUGGAUUCUCAUACUGGAAAUCCUUUAUUGGUCAGGUCUUUUCAUGAGGCGAGCAGAAGUCCCAAAAGCUCCAGUCCUUGAAUCAUACCAGGUGAACUAUUGAUCCAUAGAUGGCGAGCCUUCCAAGGAACAGUGAACCUCCACCACAGCAUUCCGGAAGCCUGUGGUAGGGUUGUGUCAGUUGAACAAAGUAUAGUUGAACAAACUAUACUACCAUAGG